CUGGUGUUCAUGAAAUGCGUACAUGUAGUGGCGAUCAAUGUAGUAUGCUCAAAGAUCUUCCAUCGGCAACUAGCCGACAAUCCAGCCCUUCAGGGCACACCGACCGUAUAGGUCAUCAACUGUAAGGAAGCACAAGAACCGACCACUCAGGUCAACUAGGAUGGAACGACUCUACAUCCUCUCAACUGUAUGCAAGUACUGACUAAUCAAGUCAACUGGGAUGGAACAACUCAACAUCCU
rnacentral:lncRNA from 1 species